rnacentral:lncRNA from 1 species
AAAAUAAAACCAAUUUUAAGCUUUACUAUCACAACUAAAAUGAUCUCAACCAAAAUCAACAUCCUCACAAACAAAAUAAAAUUUCAUCUUUUAAAUAAACCAACUCUAGUUUCAAAUUUUAGCUUCCAAUCUAAUAAUAUAAUGUUCGAAAAACAGCAACCAUGAAGAUAAUGAGAAGAUACAUGCCUUUUUAGAUAUCGGUGAAGACAUAUACGAUGGUGUGCGGUGGAAGUUGGGACGGUGAUGCCUUUCGUUUCUUCUUCUUCUCUUUCUUUUUAUGUGUUUUUUAUCAGUAUUAAUCUCAGAUCCCUCCCCCUUUUUGAAAUUUGAUAGGGCGUAUAUAUAGAGUUUUUUUUAUCUGUUUAAUUGUUUUCUUGCUUGCCUUGGUCCUUCUCCAUCAAUGUCCUGUUUGAUGUUUCGUUUUCGUUGCUCAUCAUCUGCAUUUUUCUGCACCUUUGACGCCUUCGUAAAUUUAGAUUAUUUGUUCUGAUUUGUUCAUUGCUGAGCUUUUAUUUGUCUUUUAGUUUCUUUUUUUUUAAACUCUAAAAUUUGUCUCUUUGUUCUGCACAAUGUGUACCAAAACUGACUUAAAAAUUAUGUUUUUAUGUUUCUCAAAUUAGUUAAAACAGGAACAGAUGUAUCAAUAAGCAUGGCUUGUGCAUCAAUGGUCGUCAUCAUCAACAUAGCAGGGUUUGGCAGUGAACAAAGUCAACAUAGCAUGGCUUGAUCUGAUUUAAUUUUUACUGUAAUUUAAUUUGGCUUUAUUUUUAAAUUGUAAUUUGAUUUGAUUUUAGAAUUGUAAAUAGAUUUGAAAUUGUAAAUUUAUGAGACAUAAUAAAAAUAUUUAUUGUAAUUAUUUUUAUUUCCUUUU